rnacentral:lncRNA from 1 species
AUCAUGUGAGAGUUUAAUUUAAUAUAUGGUUAAUGGACAUAUUUAAUGUUUAAACAUAAUAGUUUAGUGGCAAGUUGCUAAAAAUGGUGUAAGGUUGACCAUUGAUCUGAUAGAUGAAAAGAUUUAAGAUUUAGUUUCAAUGCAUGCAUGUGGCCUCUAAUCUUUUGUGAUUAAAAGAUAAUAACUGAGGAGGCCAUGUGUUUGAGUUCAUUAGUGGUAUUUAGAAAAUGGAUUCUACUGUGAGCUUGUCUCCUGCAGCUCAAUGUGGACAAUAUGUCCUUUACUCUUAAGCUAUUUGGAGUAUAAUUAAGUCUUUUUUGAAAGAAAAAAAUGUUUUUAAUAGAUAG